AGGAUGAACGCUGGCGGCGUGCCUAAUACAUGCAAGUCGAGCGGUAAGGCUCCUUCGGGAGUACACGAGCGGCGGACGGCUGAGUAACGCGUAGGAACAUACCCCAAACUGAGGGAUAAGCACCAGAAAUGGUGUCUAAUACCGCAUGUGCUCUUCGGAGUAAAGCUACGGCGGUUUGGGAAUGGCCUGCGUCCGAUUAGCUUGUUGGUGAGGUAAUGGCUCACCAAGGCGACGAUCGGUAGCUGGUCUGAGAGGAUGACCAGCCAGACUGGGACUGAGAACGGCCCAGACUCCUACGGGAGGCAGCAGUAGGGAAUUUUCCACAAUGGGCGAAAGCCUGAUGGAGCAACGCCGCGUGCAGGAUGAAUGCCUUCGGGUUGUAAACUGCUUUUAUCUGUGACGAAUAUGACGGUAGCAGAUGAAUAAGCUUCGGCUAACUCCGCGCCAGCAGCCGC
rnacentral:rRNA from 1 species